rnacentral:rRNA from 1 species
GGCUCCAAUAGCGUAUAUUAAAGUUGUUGUGGUUAAAAAGCUCGUAGUUGGAUCUCAACAGCCCUGGAUCGGUGUACUUUGUGUACUACUGAUCUAUGAGUUGUGCUUUUGCUGGAGGUUUAGGGGUGCUCUUAAUCGAGUGUCUCUGGAUGCCAGCAGGUUUACUUUGAAAAAAUUAGAGUGUUCAAAGCAGGCUGUUAUGCCUGAAUAUUCGUGCAUGGAAUAAUAGAAUAGGAUGUCGAUCUUAUUUUGUUGGUUUUCGAGACUCGACAUAAUGAUUAAUAGGGACAGUCGGGGGCAUUUGUAUUCAAACGCUAGAGGUGAAAUUCUUGGACCGUUUGAAGACAAACUACUGCGAAAGCAUUUGCCAAGAAUGUUUUCAUUAAUCAAGAACGAAAGU